rnacentral:rRNA from 1 species
CCCUUAGAUGAUUUGGGCUGCACGCGCGCUACACUGACCCUAACAAUGAGCAACUGUCUGGCCUGAGAUGGCUGGGUAGCCUUUUCAACCCAUGUCAUGAUUGGGCUAGAUUUUUGUAAGUCUUGAUCUCUAACGAGGAAUCCCUAGUAUGCGUGAAUCAUCAAUCCAUGCAGAUUAUGUCCCUGCCCUUUGUACACACCGCCCGCCGCUCCUACUGAUUGGGUGAUCCGGUGAGCUGUUCGGCCAUAGCAAUGUUUCUUGAGCAGGGCAAUGGAUGUUUCGCAAACCUUGCCACUUAGAGGAAGGAGAAGUCGUAACA